AUUGAACGCUGGCGGCAUGCCUUGCACAUGCAAGUCGAACGGUAACGGGCCUUCGGGUGCCGACGAGUGGCGAACGGGUGAGUAAUGUAUCGGAACGUACCUUUCAGUGGGGGAUAACGUAGCGAAAGUUACGCUCAUACCGCAUAUUCUGUGAGCAGGAAAGAAGGGGAUCGCAAGACCUUGCGCUGAUUGAGCGGCCGAUAUCAGAUUAGCUAGUUGGUGAGGUAAAAGCUCACCAAGGCGACGAUCUGUAGCGGGUCUGAGAGGAUGAUCCGCCACACUGGAACUGAGACACGGUCCAGACUCCUACGGGAGGCAGCAGUGGGGAAUUUUGGACAAUGGGGGCAACCCUGAUCCAGCCAUGCCGCGUGAGUGAAGAAGGCCUUCGGGUUGUAAAGCUCUUUCGGCCGGGAAGAAAUCGUAUCAGCUAAUACCUGGUGCGGAUGGCGGUACCGGCAUAAGAAGCACCGGCUAACUACGUGCCAGCAGCCGCAGUAAAAC
rnacentral:rRNA from 1 species